CCCUGCCUUUAGUUGCCAUCAGGUUAUGCUGGGCACUCUAAAGGGACUGCCGGUGAAAAACCGGAGGAAGGUGGGGAUGACGUCAAGUCCUCAUGGCCUUUAUGUCCAGGGCUACACACGUACUACAAUGGGUGGCACAAUGAGUCGCAAACCCGCGAGGGGGAGCCAAUCUCAAAAAACCAUUCUCAGUUCGGAUUGCAGCUCUUUAGUGAGGACUGCAUGAAGCUGGAAUCGCUAGUAAUCGCUGAUCAGCAAGCAGCGGUGAAUACGUUCCCGG
rnacentral:rRNA from 1 species